CGUGAGCAAUCUGCCUUGGAGUGGGGAAUAACGGCUGGAAACAGCCGCUAAUACCGCAUGAUACAGCUGGGAGGCAUCUCCCUGGCUGUCAAAGAUUUAUCGCUCUGAGAUAAGCUCGCGUCUGAUUAGCUAGUUGGCGGGGUAACGGCCCACCAAGGCGACGAUCAGUAGCCGGACUGAGAGGUUGGCCGGCCACAUUGGGACUGAGACACGGCCCAGACUCCUACGGGAGGCAGCAG
rnacentral:rRNA from 1 species